GUUUUCUGAUAGACGAAGAGGGGACACUUCAUUCCAUUCCUGCACAAAGAUGCAGCUAAGAAUAUCCUGUUUUGCAAUUCAAUUACUGGAACGUGCAAAGCAAGAUGUAGUUGACAAGGAUAAGAGCAAUGCAUUGAUCUAUAAUCCAAUCAUUCUGGCAAGACUGAAUAGGAUAGACUUUGAUGCCGUGUUUGCCGAAAAGCACAAGCUCAACCAUCUCAGGGUACAGUCACUGAGUGUGGAGCCUAAGUG
rnacentral:misc_RNA from 1 species